rnacentral:rRNA from 1 species
ACGAACGCUGGCGGCGUGCUUAACACAUGCAAGUCGAACGGAAAGGCUCCAGCUUGCUGGAGUACUCGAGUGGCGAACGGGUGAGUAACACGUGGGUAAUCUGCCCUGCACUCUGGGAUAAGCCUGGGAAACUGGGUCUAAUACUGGAUAUGACCUUUCUCCUUAUGGGGUUUGGUGGAAAGUUUUUCGGUGUAGUAUGAGCCCGCGGCCUAUCAGCUUGUUGGUGGGGUGAUGGCCUACCAAGGCGACGACGGGUAGCCGGCCUGAGAGGGUGAUCGGCCACAUUGGGACUGAGAUACGGCCCAGACUCCUACGGGAGGCAGCAGUGGGGAAUAUUGCACAAUGGGCGGAAGCCUGAUGCAGCGACGCCGCGUGAGGGAUGACGGCCUUCGGGUUGUAAACCUCUUUCAGCAGGGACGAAGCGUAAGUGACGGUACCUGCAGAAGAAGCACCGGCUAACUACGUG